UACGUAGGUGACAAGCGUUGUCCGGAUUUACUGGGCGUAAAGAGCGCGCAGGCGGUCGAUCAAGUCGAGUGUGAAAGCCCGAGGCUCAACCUCGGAACUGCCUUCGAUACUGCGGGUCUCGAGUCCGGGAGAGGUGAGUGGAAUUCCUAGUGUAGAGGUGAAAUUCGUAGGAUAUUAGGAAGAACACCAGUGGCGAAGGCGGCUCACUGGCCCGGUACUGACGCUGAGGCGCGAAAGCGUGGGGAGCAACAGG
rnacentral:rRNA from 1 species